UCUAUCGAUCUGUCUGUCUUUGUUUGUCUACCGUUCUAUUUAUCAGCCUAUCUGUCUAGUCUAGCUCAUUAUCUGAAUCUUCUCCCAUUAAAUCUUUCACAGAUCCACAGUUUAUGAAGAAGGAAAGCUGAUCUGCUCUGGCUGAAGUGGGUGGAAGAGGCGCUGUGGCCUUUUGGUUCCCUCUUUAGCUGCCCUCGAGACUGCCCACAUUAUCUUAUCACUACAACUCAGGUAGAAAAGAUGGUCUUAACCCCUUUGAAGACUCUGCCUGCUGAGCAUCAGCUUAUUCUAUGGUUGUUCACUUGACAAGGUGAGGAAAAGUUUUUGCCUUAAUUUCCUAACUUCUGUUUGCUAUUAAAUCACCAAGCUCCAUCCAGUCAGUUGAGCUUUCUACUGUAGGGGUUAUGAUGACAGCUAUGUGUGUAGUUUUUUUCCUAUCUCAGA
rnacentral:lncRNA from 1 species